GUACCUAUCCGUCAGCUGUUCAGUGUUUGGAUGUGUGGUGACCGCAGGGCUCCUCACGCGUCCUUAGUAAUUUUACCGGAAAUCAUCACUGGCUUCAGCGGCCGUCCGUCACAUCGCUGAUCGUUCCUUCCACUUAAUAUUACGUGAGCAAGGGCGGCGCGGGAGUGUGUGGGGAGGCGGCCGCCGCGCCGGUCAUCAGGGCACGUGCCGGCCAAAGGACGCCGUUGCCUUCCUGGGCCGCGGGCAGACGGGCGCCGCCUCCUGGCCCCGGCGAGACACUGGGCGCUCCGUGUGAAAAGAAUGAAUACUUUGAUCACCUGUU